CGAGGGGUAUUAACACAAAGAACUGCUAAUUCCGCGCCCUGGGAUUAACCCCCCAGACCCCUUA
rnacentral:tRNA from 1 species